GAUGAACGCUGGCGGCGUGCCUAAUACAUGCAAGUCGAGCGAACGGACGAGAAGCUUGCUUUUCUGAUGUUAGCGGCGGACGGGUGAGUAACACGUGGAUAACCUACCUAUAAGACUGGGAUAACUUCGGGAAACCGGAGCUAAUACCGGAUAAUAUUUUGAACCGCAUGGUUCAAAAGUGAAAGACGGUCUUGCUGUCACUUAUAGAUGGAUCCGCGCUGCAUUAGCUAGUUGGUAAGGUAACGGCUUACCAAGGCAACGAUGCAUAGCCGACCUGAGAGGGUGAUCGGCCACCCGGGAACUGAGACACGGUCCAGACUCCUACGGGAGGCAGCAGUAGGGAAUCUUCCGCAAUGGGCGAAAGCCUGACGGAGCAACGCCGCGUGAGUGAUGAAGGUCUUCGGAUCGUAAAACUCUGUUAUUAGGGAAGAACAGAUGUGUAAGUAACUGUGCACAUCUUGACGGUACCUAAUCAGAAAGCAACGGCUAACUACGUG
rnacentral:rRNA from 1 species